rnacentral:tRNA from 1 species
CACCAGUCUUGUAAACCGGACGCCGGAGGUUAAAAUCCUCCCGACUGCU